AUUUCCUCUGAGUCUUUACUCAUCAGAUAAAAGAAUGUAGUUUCUUAUCAGCUUAAUAUCUGCUACAUCCUGAAUCACCGGACUAAAAUAUUAAACUCAUUUUUGGCUUAUGACUGAGUGCUAAGAACAUGCCCUACCUCUGUCCAGGAACCCUCAUGACGUUCAGUCUUUCUUAAAUGUAAAAAAA